rnacentral:rRNA from 1 species
AGUGGCGCACGGGUGAGUAACACGUAGCCAACCUACCCUGGAGUGGGGGAUAACCUGGGGAAACCCGGGCUAAUACCGCAUAACGUCCCCGCAAGCAAAGGCCCGCUCGAGGAGGGGGCUGCGGCCGAUUAGCUAGUUGGUGAGGUAACGGCCCACCAAGGCGAUGAUCGGUAGCCGGCCUGAGAGGGCGCACGGCCACACUGGCACUGAAACACGGGCCAGACUCCUACGGGAGGCAGCAGUGGGGAAUUUUGCACAAUGCCCGAAAGGGUGAUGCAGCAACGCCGCGUGAGGGAUGAAGGCCUUCGGGUCGUAAACCUCUUUCGACCGGGAAAAAUGAUGGUUACGGUGGAAGAAGCCCCGGCCAACUACGUGCCAGCAGCCGCGGU